rnacentral:rRNA from 1 species
GAUGAACGCUGGCGGCGUGCCUAAUACAUGCAAGUCGAACGAGGUGCUUUUGUAGCAAUACGAGAGUAUCCUAGUGGCGAACGGGUGAGUAACGCGUUGGUGACCUGCCCCAAAGUGUGGGAUAACAGUCCGAAAGGAUUGCUAAUACCGCAUGUGGUCAUGAGGUUUAGAAACUUAUGACUAAAGCAGUAAUGCGCUUUGGGAGGGACCUGCGUCCCAUCAGCUAGUUGGUGAGGUAACGGCUCACCAAGGCGACGACGGGUAGGGGACCUGAGAGGGUGGCCCCCCAAAAUGGAACUGAAACACGGUCCAUACACCUACGGGUGGCAGCAGUAGGGAAUAUUGCUCAAUGGGCGAAAGCCUGAAGCAGCAACGCCGCGUGCGCGAUGAAGGUCUUCGGAUCGUAAAGCGCUUUUCUGCGAGAUGAGAAAGGACAGUAUCGUAGGAAUAAGUCUCGGCUAACUACGUGCCAGCCGCCGCAGUAAGAC